UCGUUCAAAGUAGGUUGUCAA
rnacentral:miRNA from 1 species